rnacentral:rRNA from 1 species
UACGUAGGGUGCAAGCGUUGUCCGGAAUUAUUGGGCGUAAAGAGCUCGUAGGCGGUUCGUCGCGUCGGCUGUGAAAUCCCGAGGCUCAACCUCGGGUCUGCAGUCGAUACGGGCGGACUGGAGUACUGCAGGGGAGACUGGAAUUCCUGGUGUAGCGGUGAAAUGCGCAGAUAUCAGGAGGAACACCGGUGGCGAAGGCGGCCUGCUGGGCAGUGGCUGACGCUGAGGCGCGACAGCGUGGGGAGCAAACAGG